GAGUUUGAUCAUGGCUCAGAACGAACGCUGGCGGCAGGCCUAAUACAUGCAAGUCGAGCGGACCUUUCGGGGUCAGCGGCGGACGGGUGAGUAACGCGUGGGAACAUGCCUUUCGGUGCGGAAUAACCGUUGGAAACGGCGGCUAAUGCUGCAUACGCCCUGAGUGGGGAAAGAUUUAUCGCCGAGGGAUUGGCCCGCGUUGGAUUAGGUAGUUGGUGGGGUAAAGGCCUACCAAGCCGACGAUCCAUAGCUGGUCUGAGAGGAUGAUCAGCCACACUGGGACUGAGACACGGCCCAGACUCCUACGGGAGGCAGCAGUAGGGAAUAUUGGACAAUGGGGGAAACCCUGAUCCAGCCAUGCCGCGUGAGUGAAGAAGGCCUUAGGGUUGUAAAGCUCUUUCACUGGCGAGGAUGAUGACGGUAGCCAGAGAAGAAGCCCCGGCAAACUUCGUGCCAGCAGCCGCGGUAAUACGAAGGGGGCGAGCGUUGUUCGGAAUUACUGGGCGUANAGGGCGCGUAGGCGGCGCGUUGCGUC
rnacentral:rRNA from 1 species